rnacentral:pre_miRNA from 1 species
AAAGUACUCCCUCCGUCCCAAAAUUCUUGUCUUAGAUUUGUCUAGNCUAGAUACGGAUGUAUCAAGUCACAUUUUAGUAUUAGAUACAUCCGUAUCUAGACAAAUCUAAGACAAGAAAUUUGGGACAGAGGGAGUAGUUG